AAUGAAUGAUGUUAACUGUUUCGGUCCCAUAUGAUGACUGCUGAUUACAAUGAGAUCAUCUGACGUU